rnacentral:rRNA from 1 species
UACAGAGGUCCCGAGCGUUGUCCGGAUUUACUGGGCGUAAAGGGUGUGUAGGUGGUCUGGGUAAGUCGGAUGUGAAAUCUCGCAGCCUAACUGCGAAACUGCAUUCGAUACUGCCUGACUAGAGGGUUGGAGGGGAGACUGGAAUUCUUGGUGUAGCAGUGAAAUGCGUAGAUAUCAAGAGGAACACCGGUGGCGAAGGCGAGUCUCUGGACAAUCCCUGACACUGAGGCACGAAAGCUAGGGGAGCAAACGGG